UACAGAGGUCUCAAGCGUUGUUCGGAUUCAUUGGGCGUAAAGGGUGCGUAGGUGGCCAGGUAAGUCGGAUGUGAAAUCCCGGGGCUCAACCCCGGAACUGCACUCGAUACUGCUUGGCUGGAGUACUGGAGAGGAGAUUGGAAUUUACGGUGUAGCAGUGAAAUGCGUAGAUAUCGUAAGGAAGACCAGUGGCGAAGGCGGCGACCUGGACAGGUACUGACACUCAACUACGAAAGCGUGGGGAGCAAACAGG
rnacentral:rRNA from 1 species